AACGAACGCUGGCGGCAUGCCUAACACAUGCAAGUCGAACGAAGCCUUCGGGCUUAGUGGCGCACGGGUGCGUAACGCGUGGGAAUCUGCCCUUGGGUUCGGAAUAACAGUUAGAAAUGACUGCUAAUACCGAAUGAUGUCUUCGGACCAAAGAUUUAUCGCCCAAGAAUGAGCCCGCGUCGGAUUAGCUAGUUGGUGAGGUAAAGGCUCACCAAGGCGACGAUCCGUAGCUGGUCUGAGAGGAUGAUCAGCCACACUGGGACUGAGACACGGCCCAGACUCCUACGGGAGGCAGCAGUGGGGAAUAUUGGACAAUGGGCGAAAGCCUGAUCCAGCAAUGCCGCGUGAAUGAUGAAGGCCUUAGGGUUGUAAAAUUCUUUUGCAGGGGAAGAUAAUGACGGUACCCUGCGAAUAAGCUCCGGCUAACUUCGUGCCAGCAGCCGCGGUAAU
rnacentral:rRNA from 1 species